GGGUUGUGAGGUUAAGCGACUAAGCGUACACGGUGGAUGCCCUGGCAGUCAGAGGCGAUGAAGGACGUGCUAAUCUGCGAAAAGCGUCGGUAAGGUGAUAUGAACCGUUACAGCCGGCGAUGUCCGAAUGGGGAAACCCAGUGCAAUUCGUUGCACUAUCGUUAACUGAAUACAUAGGUUAACGAGGCGAACCGGGGGAACUGAAACAUCUAAGUACCCCGAGGAAAAGAAAUCAACCGAGAUUCCCCAGUAGCGGCGAGCGAACGGGGAGCAGCCCAGAGUCUGAAUCAGCUUGUGUGUUAGUGGAACGGUCUGGAAAGUCCGACGGUACAGGGUGAUAGUCCCGUACACCAAAAUGCACAGGCUGUGAACUCGAAGAGUAGGGCGGGACACGUGGUAUCCUGUCUGAAUAUGGGGGGACCAUCCUCCAAGGCUAAAUACUCCUGACUGACCGAUAGUGAACCAGUACCGUGAGGGAAAGGCGAAAAGAACCCCGGCGAGGGGAGUGAAAAAGAACCUGAAACCGUGUACGUACAAGCAGUGGGAGCACCUUCGGGUGUGACUGCGUACCUUUUGUAUAAUGGGUCAGCGACUUAUAUUCUGUAGCAAGGUUAACCGUAUAGGGGAGCCGCAGGGAAACCGAGUCUUAACUGGGCGUUAAGUUGCAGGGUAUAGACCCGAAACCCGGUGAUCUAGCCAUGGGCAGGUUGAAGGUUGGGUAACACUAACUGGAGGACCGAACCGACUAAUGUUGAAAAAUUAGCGGAUGACUUGUGGCUGGGGGUGAAAGGCCAAUCAAACCGGGAGAUAGCUGGUUCUCCCCGAAAGCUAUUUAGGUAGCGCCUCGUGAAUUCAUCUUCGGGGGUAGAGCACUGUUUCGGCUAGGGGGUCAUCCCGACUUACCAACCCGAUGCAAACUGCGAAUACCGAAGAAUGUUAUCACGGGAGACACACGGCGGGUGCUAACGUCCGUCGUGAAGAGGGAAACAACCCAGACCGCCAGCUAAGGUCCCAAAGUCAUGGUUAAGUGGGAAACGAUGUGGGAAGGCACAGACAGCCAGGAUGUUGGCUUAGAAGCAGCCAUCAUUUAAAGAAAGCGUAAUAGCUCACUGGUCGAGUCGGCCUGCGCGGAAGAUGUAACGGGGCUAAACCAUGCACCGAAGCUGCGGCAGCGACACUAUGUGUUGUUGGGUAGGGGAGCGUUCUGUAAGCCUGCGAAGGUGUGCUGUGAGGCAUGCUGGAGGUAUCAGAAGUGCGAAUGCUGACAUAAGUAACGAUAAAGCGGGUGAAAAGCCCGCUCGCCGGAAGACCAAGGGUUCCUGUCCAACGUUAAUCGGGGCAGGGUGAGUCGACCCCUAAGGCGAGGCCGAAAGGCGUAGUCGAUGGGAAACAGGUUAAUAUUCCUGUACUUGGUGUUACUGCGAAGGGGGGACGGAGAAGGCUAUGUUAGCCGGGCGACGGUUGUCCCGGUUUAAGCAUGUAGGCUGGUUGUCCAGGCAAAUCCGGAUAAUCAAGGCUGAGGUGUGAUGACGAGGCACUACGGUGCUGAAGUAACAAAUGCCCUGCUUCCAGGAAAAGCCUCUAAGCAUCAGGUAACAUUAAAUCGUACCCCAAACCGACACAGGUGGUCAGGUAGAGAAUACCAAGGCGCUUGAGAGAACUCGGGUGAAGGAACUAGGCAAAAUGGUGCCGUAACUUCGGGAGAAGGCACGCUGGUGUGUAGGUGAAGUCCCUGCGGAUGGAGCUGAGACCAGUCGAAGAUACCAGCUGGCUGCAACUGUUUAUUAAAAACACAGCACUGUGCAAACACGAAAGUGGACGUAUACGGUGUGACGCCUGCCCGGUGCCGGAAGGUUAAUUGAUGGGGUUAUCCGUAAGGAGAAGCUCUUGAUCGAAGCCCCGGUAAACGGCGGCCGUAACUAUAACGGUCCUAAGGUAGCGAAAUUCCUUGUCGGGUAAGUUCCGACCUGCACGAAUGGCGUAAUGAUGGCCAGGCUGUCUCCACCCGAGACUCAGUGAAAUUGAACUCGCUGUGAAGAUGCAGUGUACCCGCGGCAAGACGGAAAGACCCCGUGAACCUUUACUAUAGCUUGACACUGAACAUUGAGCCUUGAUGUGUAGGAUAGGUGGGAGGCUUUGAAGCGUGGACGCCAGUCUGCGUGGAGCCAACCUUGAAAUACCACCCUUUAAUGUUUGAUGUUCUAACGUUGGCCCCUUACCGGGGUUGCGGACAGUGUCUGGUGGGUAGUUUGACUGGGGCGGUCUCCUCCCAAAGCGUAACGGAGGAGCACGAAGGUUAGCUAAUCCUGGUCGGACAUCAGGAGGUUAGUGCAAUGGCAUAAGCUAGCUUGACUGCGAGCGUGACGGCGCGAGCAGGUGCGAAAGCAGGUCAUAGUGAUCCGGUGGUUCUGAAUGGAAGGGCCAUCGCUCAACGGAUAAAAGGUACUCCGGGGAUAACAGGCUGAUACCGCCCAAGAGUUCAUAUCGACGGCGGUGUUUGGCACCUCGAUGUCGGCUCAUCACAUCCUGGGGCUGAAGUAGGUCCCAAGGGUAUGGCUGUUCGCCAUUUAAAGUGGUACGCGAGCUGGGUUUAGAACGUCGUGAGACAGUUCGGUCCCUAUCUGCCGUGGGCGCUGGAGAAUUGAGGGGGGCUGCUCCUAGUACGAGAGGACCGGAGUGGACGCAUCACUGGUGUUCGGGUUGUCAUGCCAAUGGCACUGCCCGGUAGCUAAAUGCGGAAGAGAUAAGUGCUGAAAGCAUCUAAGCACGAAACUUGCCCCGAGAUGAGUUCUCCCUGAGACUUUAAGUCUCCUGAAGGAACGUUAAAGACGAUGACGUUGAUAGGCCGGGUGUGUAAGCGCAGCGAUGCGUUGAGCUAACCGGUACUAAUGAACCGUGAGGCUUAACCUUACAACGCCGAAG
rnacentral:rRNA from 1 species